GCUACAGCAACUUCGGCCGUUCCGGCGCCGCGGCUUUGGAGCCAAGUGGAAAUCGUACAAGUGCACACAAAGAAGAACGGUUGGUCGCCUUGUAAGUGCAGGAACUCUGGACGUUCUCUCUUUGGUGUGCUCGCAUGCCACGGACUGUGUGCGACGCAUUUGCAGCCAUGUCUCAUUGUAAGACAGGUUGAUUUGAUUUGAGGACGCACCGCUUUCUCCCUGCAUAAUCGCAGCAGAUGAUGACAUCUGGAUGCCUGAAGAGUACCUAUUGCUUGUUGAUGGCCAUGUUGUGGCAGCAGCAAAGAUGUUCAAGCAAGCAUUCUGCAUGCUGUUUGCAGCUUACUUCUGCUUCCACAUUUGUUAUGCAGAGAAGGCGUCAUGCACACUUGAAUUCAUACAAAGGGCAUUUUCGGCAUAAACCCAGACCGUGGACGGAAGGGCAAAAAAGGAAAUGUGGUGGUCAGCAAGAAAGUUCUUGCCUUGGUGCAGCCAUUACUGAGUGUGAAUGGAAUGUCUAGCAUGAACUAGUUGACCACACGCAGGGAUACUUUUUCGUCUGCCAAGCAGCCCAGAACCUUGCAAUGCGAACUACAGAAAUGGUUCCCUUUCACCAAGUCAUGUACACAAGAAAUUAUUUUAAAGCUACGUGAAGUGCAA